AGUUGAUAUAAACAUAUGAAAUUUAAACACAAGAUUUAUGACAACAAAAGGAAGGUUAGGAUUGAUUUUGGAAGUUUUGGUCCCUACAGUUUAAGAAUUAAGGGCCAAAAAAAGGUUCAAUAAGUUUUUUUCUUGGUUUUUCGCACAAUAACUGUAGUAUUAGUAAAUAGAAAUCUAUGUAAUUUAAACACAAGGUUUAUGACCACAAAAAGAAGGUUAGGAUUGAUUUUGGGAGUUUUGGUUUUAACAGUUUAGGAAUUGGGGGCCAAAAGGGUCCAAAAUUAAACUUUGUUUGAUUUCAUCAAAAAUUGAACCAUGGGGG
rnacentral:lncRNA from 1 species